rnacentral:rRNA from 1 species
AGCAGUAGCCGCGGUAAUACGAAGGGGGCUAGCGUUGCUCGGAAUGACUGGGCGUAAAGGGCUCGCAGGCGGUUUCUUAAGUCUGAUGUGAAAGCCCCCGGCUCAACCGGGGAGGGUCAUUGGAAACUGGGAAACUUGAGUGCAGAAGAGGAGAGUGGAAUUCCACGUGUAGCGGUGAAAUGCGUAGAGAUGUGGAGGAACACCAGUGGCGAAGGCGACUCUCUGGUCUGUAACUGACGCUGAGGAGCGAAAGCGUGGGGAGCGAACAGGAUUAGAUACCCCUGUAGUCCCUGUCUCUUAUAC